rnacentral:lncRNA from 1 species
ACCAGACCAUCUCCCGGCGCGGGUGGAAUUCCCGCGAUCUGUCUCAUUCCCUGCGCCGCCGAGAAAAGUGAGAUCCCGCGAGACUCCCAGGAAUGGCACCAUUGUUGUGCGGAUGCUGAUGCCCAGCGUUGAGCCUGUCGUCUCCUAUAUUAGGGGAAGUUCUCCUGGCCCUUCCCAACUACCUCCCCUGUGCAAGUUUAUUACAACUGAACGGCCUCAAGGAUGAAGUCUGGCUCUGUUGCCCAAGCUGGAGUGUGUUGGCACCAUCUUGGUUCACUGCAACUUCCACCUCCCAGGCUCCAGUGAUUCUCCUGCCUCAGCCUCAAGGGUAGCUGAGAUUACAGGCUGGAGUGCAGUGGCAUGAUCUCACCUCACUGAGAACCUCCACCUCCAGGGUUCAAGUGAUUCUGCUACCUCAACCUCCCAAAUAGCUGGGACUACAGGAAAACAUUCUGCCUGUGUUGCAAUAUCCAGAAACUCCUAGAUAUACUGAUCAACAGCAGUUUGAAUGUUUUCCUGAUCAGUGCCAUUGACAUAGUCCUGACUCACCAGAGAAGCAAAGCAAGCCUCGAAAGAUGGCUCCAAUUCAUUCACCAGGUACUGUGAGAAGGUCUCAGAGUAUCUGGUGCUGCCUGAAGAAGUGAAGCCUGGCCCCGGAGCUCCAAUGUGGGUAGUGG